rnacentral:lncRNA from 1 species
AUGGGGAGGGCGUGGCCUGUGAUGGACAGCCGGCGCUCCCGCCCUCGGCCCCCUCCCCCACUGAAGACCCCGCUCUGGCGCCCCCGCCCCCAGUCUAGAGCCUGCUGCCCGUUGGAGACCAAUGGGAGGCUCAUGCGCGUCUCAGAUCGAUUUUCCAAGUGCGGAGUUCACUCCCGCAGCUGCUGUGGCAUUUCGGACCCGCGGCGCCCUGGAGCCAGGCGCGGCGCUCCAGAGGGAGCUGCGCAGAGCGGACCCGAAGCCGGCCCUCGCCACGCCGCACCUUCCCAGCCGGCGGUGGUCGAGCCUUGGGAUCUGCAUCCCCCGCCCUGGUCUACGCGGCUCGCCCUCCCUCCUUUUCUCUCCGGCGCACGCCCGAGGCUGAAGACCUCUGCGCACCGGCCCGUGAGGUGACCUUGGGCUCUGGGCUGCAUCACAGAAGAAAUUAGUUCCUCCGGGAGAUGAAGCCUCAGCAGGAGAGACAGAUUACAGAUCGUGAAAAGGCAAGUCGGAGAGUGAGUUUCCUUGCCGGGGCUCUGUGUGCGCACACCUGCCUGGACGACCUUUCGCGCCCGUCCGCGGUCCUUACUGGGUUCCUUGGUGUGCGCGGGGGAGGCCCGGCGCGUGGUUUGUUAGAACACCCUUUAGGAAGGGCAUGCUAUUAACUGUUUUUCAGAGCAGUUUAAAACGCACCACUUUUCUGUUCGUCUGCUGUUGAGAAGUUUGAUGCUGGAGAGGUAAAGUGAGAGUUGAGUUGCUGUGUAAGAUCCCUGAUUGGUCAGUACGAUUAAAUUAGCUACCUUGAAAAGUUAUUCAAGAGUUGGUGCAUAGACCCCUUUAUGAUCUAUCCAGGUCCUGCAACGGUUGUUUGUUUUUUUUGUUUGUUUUUGAAGAACUAUUUUGAGUUCAUUUAAAUCAUGCAAGUAAUACAUUAGUGCGGCCUCUUAAAAUGCAAAUAGUACAGAAAUAUUUAGCACGAAAAGCAGAUCCAUUUUCCAGUCUUUUUCUGCUCAUGUACAUACGUCUUCAUUCAUUCAGCAAAUGCUCAUUGAAAACUUGAUAUUUUUCAGGCACAGUUUUGAAACGCACAGUGGUGUUAACAUGUUAUCUAUCGUGUUAAUGCUUAUCUAUAUCUCCAGAGAAAUCUUUAGGUUCUUUUGUGUGUGGUUUUAGAAUAUUUGCUUGUUUUACAUAAAUGAGAUCACGUAGUGUGUAUUCUCCAACCUCCAACCUUUUUUGUUGUUGUUGUUAUUUUUAUUUAUUUAAUUUAUUUUGGCUGCGCCGGGCCUUAGUUGCAGCACGCGGGAUCUUUUUUUAUUUAGUUGUGGCAUGCAGACUUCUUAGUUGU